CAACCCUCAGGCCCCCGGGCCUGGCGUUGGGGAUCGGCGGAGCGCCCCCUGCGGGCACACGCCGUCCCCCAAAUACAGUGGCGGUCCCGCCGCAGCUUCCAUUGCGUAGUAGCUAACACCUCGCAACUGGAGAGCGGCGCGGCCACGCCGUAAAACACCCAACUUCUGAA
rnacentral:misc_RNA from 1 species